GGGCAGGUGGCUCAGUGGUAGAGUGCCUGCCUCGCAUGCAUGAGACCCUGGGUUCGAUUCCAGCAGCCCU
rnacentral:tRNA from 1 species